rnacentral:pre_miRNA from 1 species
UUUGUACUCCCUCCGGCCCAAAAUUCUUGUCUUAAAUUUUUCUAAAUACGGAUGUAUCUAGUUACAUUUUAGUGUUAGAUACAUCUGUAUCUAAACAAAUGUAAGACAAGAAUUUUGGGACGGAGGGAAUACUAC